rnacentral:lncRNA from 1 species
ACUGCUGCAUGGAAGCACAACACUUCAAGAGAAAUGUUGAAUAAUGUUUAUCAAAGCCUCUAUUAAUAGGCCUGGAUUUAGGCUUGGUCUGUAAAUGAAUUGUGAAUUAAAUUUUAUUCUAAUGGGGAUAAAAUGGGGUUUUUUUUGUCUGACAUGGAGUCAGUUGUAAUUUCAAAUCCAGCUUUAACAAACCUUUUCAGCCCAUUAUUUCUAGCCACCUUUUGAAUAGUUAUGUAUUUUCUACAGAACGAGGAACACUUACACAGCAAGAAUAGAGACAGAAGCAAAUAAGCAGGCCAUCCAGAAAGUACCUAUGCUGCUCUCCCAGCAGGAUCUCAAUAAUGGUAUUUGAAUGCAGUGAUUGAAAUAGUGAGAUCUCCUAGCAAGGAACUCAUAUGCACUUAGUGAUUCACUUUUUAAAAUCCAUUUGUAAUAAAUUAUUUCAUGGCAUUCCUUUAAUUAUUUAUGAUACCAAAUGGUCAUUCAACAUUCUGACUCAUGGCUUGAUCCACUUACAUAAGCAUAACUAUUCACUGCAUGACUUUCAAGGGUGUUAGGCAUUUUUACUUUACUCAAGCUUGGUUUAAAAUGUCAUUCAAACUGCAAACAGAGGCCAAAAUUGAUUAGCUGUUCUAAAAUCUAAGCCAUAACUUGCAAUUGUGGCAUUGAAAACCUUGCCUAUGUCAUAUAUGUAUCUAAGAGUAUACUGUGUUCAGAAUAAUCUUGUUUUAAAUAAGUACAUAACUAUUUUAAUACACUUCUGAGGGUUUUUUGUUUGUUUUCUGAUUUUCCUUAAACAUAGGUACUUGAUUUAAAUUCUGUACCAUUAUUUAAAAUAUAAAACAAUACAUUAAUGACAAAUUCCGUACCUCUAGUCUAACUAGUGGGAUUGCAUCUCAGAUAGUUAUCUCCUCUUGGGAAUUAAGUUAUGGAGAGCUACCAGGACAAUCUGCUACAGGGUAAUAAACCCCCCAGUAAGACGUGGUCUUUUUGGAGGAAAUUGUGCAUUCAGAAUGGAAAUGAACCUGCUUGCAAAACUCAAAUGCAUACUGUCAUAGGCAGCUUUGAGGUGAAGAAAUCCUAUUUUUCUGUUAUGUAGAAAGCUAGCUGGUAUCAUUAGAGUCUUCAAAUAUGACAUUGACAAUAGAGAUGAGCAUCUGGUAGCAUUUGAUAAUGGUCUAUCACUGGAAAUAAGGUAAUAAAUUUCUCUGUAAUGGUUCACUGCCAACAGUGCUCAUUUAUGAGUGAAAUAAGAUGACCAUUUAUUUUCCCACUUGGGCAAUGUUGCAGAUUUGUGUUCUGUUCCUUUUGGUGAAGAUCUGAAAGGGUUAUUAAAGAUAUAUUAUUGCAAACUAAGUGUAUUGCUUUCAAAUGCUGUGUGUGACAAUUCCUUGUUGUAAUUGUGUUUUAAUGUCAAACACUUUGCAGAUAUAUUCACGUAGGAAUAUAUCUGAAUGUGCAGAAUCCAGUUCUUUCCUCCUUACUACAAAUACAUGCUUUCUGCAUUCAAAGAGUAAAGGCAUAAAUUUUCUGUUGUAGGCUGGAGGAAAUCUGUAAAUUGUGCUAUUUUAACAAUGCAAAAAUCAGCUUAAAGUUGAUUCAUAUGAGCUUAAAACAGCCUUUGUUUCUGGCACCUCUGAAAUAGAAAAUGCUCUAGGGCCUGGAUUCACAACCAAGUUUAUCCAAGGGAA